rnacentral:miRNA from 1 species
UGGUGACUGGCAGUGGCUCCA